GCAUUACUACCACCGCCAAGUCAAUAAGAACGGCCAAUCCAGAGACGAAAGGAGGCCGUGCCUCUUUCUUCCGAGACCAUGACUGCGAGUCUAGGGUUCCACCCCACGCCGCCGCACGGUAUGGCCGUGAUUCGCAGUGGAGCGAGCCGUCGGAGCCGAUCUAUAUUCUACCUCAAUUAAUUCUACCUCGAUUCCUACUUCAAGAUCCUCGCGCUUGCUCGCCUCUAUGACGUCUGCACCAAUUAGGGUCGGCCGCCGCCACGACAUUGCGCCAGAGGGCAGUUUGAUCCUCGGCCGUGCAGGCCAGCUUGAGAACCGGCGCUGAGCGAGGCCAUGGCAGGCGCGGUGCGGGAUCCGUGGAGAUUGGUGCGACCGCUGAGAAAUUUGAAGAGCGAGGGCGUUAGGGGCUGCUGGGGCUGGCUCUCCUCGUCGGAGAACAACGAAUUCUCCGGCUGUGGGUGCAGGAGAUGAGGCGGUGGGGCUUUGGAUCUUUGGGCAGUAGAUCCCGGGACAGGAGGUGCUUUUCUGGGGAUGCGGUGAUUGAAAAGAAUGGAACAGUGGAGGGAAGGAGGACAGGGAUGCGUAUUUUUCUUACUAAUUCUGCCCUGAUUCCCCUUUUCCACUUCAUGAUUUGCGGCGGGGCGCGUAGGACAUGUCGUGGAAUUGGGGAGAUCCAUGAUGAACGGCUCGGGUGGAUCCCAGGCGCCACACUCCAUGGCCGUCCGGCGCUGGAGCUUCAUGCCUCCAUGGCCCGAAAAGCAUCGGGCUAUCAGAGCUCAACGACCUUGGGUAGCGAGGACUGCAGCAGCCUUCUUCGCACAAACUUUUUAUUGGAUAUACUACAGCCAAUGGUGUGUUUCUCGGCUAUGAUAUGAACAAACGGUUGUGCUUAGGCAUCCUAACAAGAUAGUGUUUUGUUUGUGCUUCGAGAGGACAUGUUUGUGCAUGGAAAAAAUAGGUACUGUCUCGGCAAUUGCAUCUGUACUCAAUCUAUGAGUGAUAUAUGAAGUCUGAAUGUUCUGAUGUAAACACACUGCAUGCUGUAGUCUGAAACUCUGAAUUGGAUGUUCUGGUGUUUUUGCAA